rnacentral:rRNA from 1 species
GACGAACGCUGGCGGCGUGCUUAACACAUGCAAGUCGAACGGGCCUUGUCCCCUUUUUUUUUGGGGGUGGGGUUAGUGGCGAACGGGUGAGUAACACGUGAGUAACCUGCCCCUCAUUUCUGGAUAACCGCUUGAAAGGGUGGCUAAUACGGGGUGUUCUGGCCUGCUCGCAUGGGUGGGUUUGGAAAGAUUCGACCGGUUUUGGUUGUUUUGGUGGGGGAUGGGCUCGCGGCCUAUCAGCUUGUUGGUGGGGUGAUGGCCUGCCAAGGCUUUGACGGGUGGCCGGCCUGAGGGGGUGGGCGGUCACACUGGGACUGAGACACGGCCCAGACUCCUACGGGAGGCAGCAGUGGGGAAUAUUGCACAAUGGGCGCAAGCCUGAUGCAGCGACGCCGCGUGAGGGAUGGAGGCCUUCGGGUUGUGAACCUCUUUCGCCAGUGAAGAAGGUCCUGCUCUUUGUGGUGGGGUUGACGGUAGCUGGGUUAAUGAAGCGCCGGCUAACUACGUG